UUUUUUUUUUUCUUUUCUAAAUCAAUCAACAGAAUUAUAUGUAUUGUAUUCUCGAUCUACAGAGGAAAAUUUCUGAGAAUCGCGAGAAUUUAUUCAGUCACUCGUUGAUUGAUCAACAAAUUUAGAAAGAAAAGAGAAAGAACGUUACCGGCACGUGUGUAGUUUCGAAUUCUCGAGUUUCACUGUUCGUCAAAGUAACUACUAAAGAGCGAACAUUCGAAAAAAGUUGUGGGCGUAAACGAAAGAGCGUAAAAUUGCGGAAAAGUAAAAAAUUACAGACACUUGUAGUAAUCGUCGCCUGUGUGGCGACAGCGAUUAGGUAAGUAUCCUUUUAUAAGAUUCCUUCCUAGAGACUAAUCGUGAAAAUUAAUGCGAGAUCGUCACAGCGUUACCCUGUGAACUGAUCCGAUAAUGCUAGAAAUUUUCAGGUGAGUCGCGCAGAUUGGCAGACGCGUGGAGGGAUAACUCUGUAAAACGGGUUAUUUGAUAAAAGAGAAAAAAAAAAAGAGGUCUGGAACGAAACACGUAAAAAAGACGGAUUCUCUCGAGACUACAUGGUCCUUCACUUUCUUCUAUCUCUUCCGUUUCGUUUUACGAUUAAGAGAUACCCUUCUUUCGGGUCGUCUUCGACGGCCGCGUGAACCGAGUGACUUUAUCUCUCGUAAAUCGCCUAAAUUGAAAAGCCAUAUUAUACAUACGUGUACGUAUAAAAAAAAAAAAAGAACAGACAAAGAAACAAAAACAGCUGAAAGAAAAAAAAAAAAAAAAUGCAAGGAAAAAAGUAAACGCAGAAAAUGAACCAAAAAAAAAAAAAAAAAAAAAAAAAACAAAAUUUCGCCAACAACAAUCCCAAAAAAAAAAAAAAAUGUCCUGUGAGUUGACGGCCCAAUGUUUUGCCACUAGCGUGACAGCUAUCGCCUGCGAGUACGGGCCUCCGACAGAGGGACGCAAGUGUUGCACGCAGACGUGGACGUUGAGUUAGACGUCGUAGACAGAAACAAUAAACCACCUGUGUGGGAUGCGAAUGUAUACGGCCCCAUUCACAUCAAAGAAAAUGUCACAGUGGGUACUGUAGUGACGUCGGUGAAAGCCAGAUACAGAAAACGGUGCAGGUGCAGAAGCUGGGCAUCAGCUGGAACAUGGUACCAACGUGCCCUCCGUUUGCCGUCGGCACGCUCAGCUUCCUGCUGGCGCUAGUCCCGCUUUGCUUAGAAUGUAAUCUCGCGCUAAUAAGUGUAAUCAAUAAAAUAGAGCGGUAACGAGCGGCUGGCUAAUCUCAGUGAGGCGACCACGCCACCUGUCUCUCAGUGGCCUUCGUUUGUCGGCGGCGAGAGAGAGGAGUGGGGGGGGGGGAGAGAGAGAGAGAGUGAGACGAUUGUCAUGGCCACCCGGCGGCAGGCGGACGGAGAAUCUAGGGGGAGAGAGAUGAUGAUGAUCGGGCGGAUGCAGGAGAGCAGGACGCAAGGCCUACGCCAAGGACACGCCGGCCACGAAAAUAUGGCGCACGACGCACAUCUGUGUGGGGCCGCAGAGAUUUGAAAGAACGCGGGAGAGAGAGAGAGAGAGAAAAGCAAAAAAAAAAAAAAAACAAUAAAACAGAGACGACAGAGACAGAGACCACCGCGUAAGAGGGAGAGAGAGCGAGAACGCGCGCACACACACACAUAGACACGCGCGUGCCAGAGCGUGCUCCUCCCGAGACCCGAGAAAAAAUAAAAAAAUAAAAAUAGAAAUAAAAAAAAAAAAAAUUAUCACUGAAGCGAGUCGCUACGACUGACACUAACGCCAUAUUUGUUUUUUGUUCCCGUUUGUUAUGUGACACGCGGUCCGGUGUAGCGUGAGAUGUACAAGCUGGAAGCGAUGGCCCAAGACAAGGGCUUCCCGCCCUUGUCGCGAAUGGUGGAGGUACAGAUUGACGUUGUGGACCGUGCGAAUAAUCCGCCCGUAUGGGACCACAUAGUGUAUGGGCCGAUCUACUGUAAAGAGAACAUGGCCGUUGGGGCUAAAGUUGUGUCUGUUAAAGCCAGGUCUGUCACACUGUUAAUGCUCCGUGCGGCUCUGCACGAACCCGCCCUGCACGCAAUCUCGUGGCAGUAUUGUUCUUGUGCACGUUAAUUGAUAUUGUGUACGAUUUCAUACACACACACACACACACACACACACGCACAUACAUCUGUAAACUGACGCAUACACACGUACACGCAGGUGUACACGCGCCUAGCGAUGGGCUAUCGAUGAUAGUACGAUUCAAUGAUGACAUUUCGAUGAACAAAGGACGCGUCGGAUCUUUCACUCUGCUCACGGAGUCUCGAAUGGGUUUGCCCGUCCGGUGGAGAAGCUGUCCUGAAACCGUUGAAACUUCCCAAGUAGUGGUAGAAGCUGCAUCAACCGCUGAACCGAGUAACGAUACAGAGGACAAUGUUGGUAUAGAUCGUUGGUAUAGAGAGCUGCAGGGAUACCAUGUCGUAUAUUUCGCUGCAUGCCAUCACGUUUCGACACAGCCGCCGACGUUCCAAGCCAUUUGAGAUUCCUUUUUCAUUUUUCUUUCUUUUUUUUUUUUCUUUUUUUGCGCCGAAAGAGAGAGAAAACAAGAGAGGUCUCUCUCGUGCCCAUCGCUAUGCUACGCGACGCGACGCGAGGCGGCCGACACACACACACAUACACACAAGCACAGACGGACACGCAUACACGUGAGGUGGUGAGCACGAGUAUCCGUUUGAGCAGA